rnacentral:lncRNA from 1 species
AUGUGCAGAGACGCAUGGAGUAAACCAUUCAUUGGUUGGACACAUAGGGCACAUCUAUGCCAGGCUAUGUAUCCGCAUGGAGACUUCAGCAAUGAGAUAGAAACCACACAAGCCUCUGUCUUCAUGAACCUCACAUUUCACUGGUGGCUGGGAGGACUGACAAGAAACGAAAAGGGAAACAUAGAUGUUGAUUCACUUGGUGGAGAAAACAAAGCAAGACUGGGGUACAGGGAGGGAGUGAAACAGGGGCGUGUGCCACUUUCAGAUGAGGCGUUUGGGAAGGUCCACGUGGGAGAAUGGCGUCUGAGUCAUUUAGGACACAGAGAAAGUGAGACUUCCGAGAAGGAACACUCAAAGGGCCCUGGCAGACAUGCCAAGUCCCCUGGAGACAUGGCUGUGACGCUUAGAAUGACACGGUCAGCACCUAGAAUCACAUGGAUGCCGGGCCCUCUGGGGCCUCACAGAUGAGAGCGCGAAAGCUCCAGAAAGUAUGCAGUGCUGUAUGAUGCUUGAUUGAGUCUGAGAAGGACCGGAGCACAAGGGGUGUUUCGGAAGGGAGCCUGAGGGCUGGCACCCACGCUCUGUCUGCACCUGUCUCUGCCCCAAAGCCCCACCGCAGGAGCAAGGAUGCCCUGACUUCCAAUUAGGAACGGUCUAAUUCAAUGGGGCUUAACGUCUAGGGAAUGUCAGAAUCACCUGCACUGCUUGUUAAGAUGUGCAGAUUGCAGGGCCCAUCCCCAGUGGUUCUGAUCCAGUAGGUUCAGGUGUGGGGCCCAAUGAUUAGGUUUCUGACACUUCCCUCACGUGAUCCUGGUACACACUCCACACUCCUCUUUCAUUUGCACUCUCAUUACUAACUCUCAGCCCCUCCAGCUUUGCUCUUCCCUCUGAAAUGACCUGCCUGGUCUGUGUUUCCCUCAAAGCCCAGCUGGGGCCACUUCCUGGAGGAAGCCUUCCCUGACUUCCAAGGCAAAGCCUUUGGUGCCCUCCUCUGAGUAUUUGCCCCUUAGAUUUUUAUCACAUCUAAUUGCUGCGCUCAUGUCUAUCUGCCUUUUGGAUUACAAGCACCUGAGGACCACUUUUCCAGUUCCUGCUAGCAGGUAUGUGUUCAACAAAGCUUUCUGAAGUCCCGUCUUGUUUUUCCCUGAUGUUUGUGCAAAGGAAGGUCGUCCAGGGAAAGAAUUCCAACUCGCCCCGCCCCUGGGCCGCCCUCACCAUCGAAACCCCAUUUCACCCAAAGUCCUGCUUUCCCCUGAACUUCCUGGUUCCAGCCAGUCCAGGCCCACUGAUGUAAUGACAUCUGGCCAUUAAGGAAGUUGAAAUUCUUUCUCUGACAAGUGCGGUUUGAAAUUUUUUAGAGAGCUGUUUUAUUAAGGCUCAAAUACACACAGUCAAGCACCAGAAUGGCAAAGCACGCACGGCUUGGCCAGAGGAUGAGACUCAAAGAGGGACCUUGGGCAAAGCACUGGCCCCUUCAUGUGUCAAAGGAUGGACCUGGAGAAAAGGAUUUCUCAGGUCCUUUCCAGCUCUCAAAUUCCGGGAUUACAGAAUCUUGAGUCCAGUUAGAUGCUAAACAAAUAUAUCCAGAUUCUUNNNNNNNNNNNNNNNNNNNNNNNNNNNNNNNNNNNNNNNNNNNNNNNNNNNNNNNNNNNNNNNNNNNNNNNNNNNNNNNNNNNNNNNNNNNNNNNNNNNAGAUGCUAAACAAAUAUAUCCAGAUUCUUAGCAUGAGUGUGCCAAGUCUGGUGGGAAAUCUGUCCUUCUUACAAGCUGUUGCCUAGUUUUAUCUCUGCAUGUGGAGUCAUAAGAACUCCCUAAAUAUUCCACGUGUGUAAUAGAGUGAGGCAGCUGCAGGAGCAAGCUGUGGAACUAAACUGUAACAUAGAGAAAGGUACAUAGACUAGGGUUUGAAUCUUAGGAUCACUGCCGUGUGAGCUUCAGCAAAUUCUUUAACUUUUCUGAGCCUUGGUUUCCUCAUCUGUAAAAUGAGAGCAAGAACAGUCUCUAAUUUAUAGGAUUACUACAGAAAUUAAGAGAAAAUAAUUAACAGCAAGGUUUUCAAAGAGGCUAGUUCAGCAGGUACUAGCUUUCAGGUGCUUCCUCUGGACCAUUUCAGUCCAUCUCUGCUGACAAGUUGGCCCCUAAAUGAGGAAAACAUUGUGUACUCUGAGCUCCAAAGUCCUUCUGAUGAGCUUCUGGUUACCUCUCAUGGCCUUGCUGGGUCACUUAUUCAUCCAACCCAUAUCUAUGGUUAUUGUUAUUGUUGUUCAGUUGCUUGGGCAUGUCCAGCUCUUUGCGACCCCAUGGACUGCAGCACACCAGGCUUCCCU